rnacentral:tRNA from 1 species
UGGUCUAGUGGCUAGGAUAUCUGGCUUUCAAUCAGAAGGCCCGGGUUCGAUUCCCGG